rnacentral:tRNA from 1 species
AAGGUUUUAAGUUAAUAAAACUAUUUUCCUUCAAAGUUAAAAUUAUAAGUAUGUUUAUAAACCUUA